rnacentral:lncRNA from 1 species
CAGCAUUUAAAAACAUGAAUAGAGAAUAAAUACAGUUUGAUCUACAGAUUAAAUGAUUUGCAUUUAGUCUAAAUUUAUUCUUCACAUUCACUCCAAAUUUUAGUAGUAACAAAUGACCCAUAGUGUAAUAACAAAGGGGAAAUUUUAUGUUUACCACAUUCAAGAUACCACUUUUCAUUUUUACCAUCACUAAAGGGACAUUUUCAAAAACACCUUAUUCAUUAAGUGACAAAAGACUCUAGUGUCUUUGUUUUUUAUGUAUAUAAUAAAUAAAUAUUUAAAUAAAUAAAAAAUCUAAAAAAAAUAAAAAAUAAUUUUAAACCCUAAACCAUCGAACCCUAUUUCGAAAUUCAAACCCUAAACCCUAAAACUCAACUCUAAACCCUAAACCAUCAAUCAUAAACCCUUUUUUGUUUAUGAAAUACGAACCCUAAACCCUAAACCAUCAAUCCUAAACCCUAUAUUUCUUUUAAAUACGAACCCUAAACCCUGAAACAUCAACUCUAAACCCUAAACCCCGAAACAUAAACUCUAAACCCUAAACCUUCAACUCUAAACCCUAAAACAUCAACUCUAAACCCUAAACCCUAAACUUCAACUCUAAACCCUAAACCCUAAACUUCAACUCUAAACCCUAAAUCAUCAACACUAAACCAUAAACUAUCAACACUAAACCCUAAACCCUAAAAAGUAAACUCUAAACCCUAAACCCUAA